rnacentral:rRNA from 1 species
AGUUCGAUCAUGGCUCAGACCAACAGCGUUCUUUACUGCUCAGUCAGACGGCGGCGCGGACUUCGGUCUUUGGUGGUGGCGAACGGGUCGAUAAUGUAUCGGACGUGCUGGUAGUGGGGGAUAGCUGCGCGGCGUGGCUAAUGCCGCAUCACGCCGCAUUCGAAGCGGGGACAACUGGGCCUCGCACUAUUAGAGCGGCCGAUAUCGGAUUAGCUAGUUGGUGGGAGUAACGGCUCACCAGGGCGACGAUCCGUAGCUGGUUUGAGGAGGACGACCAGCCACACUGGGACUGAGGCAGCCCAAUUCUACGAAGGCGGCAGUGAAAUUUUGGACAAUGGGGAAACCCUGAUCCAGCCCAUCCCGCGUGUGCGAUGAAGGCCUUCGGGUUGUAAAGCACUUUUGGCAGGAAAGAAACGGCACAGGAUAAUACCCCGUGCAACUGACAGUACCUGCAGAAUAAGCACCCGGCUAACUACGUGCCAGCAGCCGCGGUAUUAUGGGUGCAAGCGUUAAUCGGAAUUACUGGGCGUAAAGCGUGCGCAGGCGGUUCGGAAAGAAGAUGUGAAAUCCCAGAGCUUAACUUUGGAACUGCAUUUUAACUACCGAGCUAGAGUGUGUCAGAGGGAGGUGGAAUUCCGCGUGUAGCAGUGAAAUGCGUAGAUAUGCGGAGGAACACCGAUGGCGAAGGCAGCCUCCUGGGGUAACACUGACGCUCUCAUGUGCUGCGAGAAAGCGUGGGAGCAAACAGGAUUAGAUACCCUGGUGAUUACGCCUAAACGAUCAUAAUAGCUGUUGGGGCCUUCGGAGCCUUGGUAGCGCAGCUAACGCGUAGAUUGACCGCCUGGGAAGUACGGUCGCAAGAUUAAAAACUCAAAGGAAUUGACAGGGACCCGCACAAGCAGUGGAUGAUGUGGAUUAAUUCGUGCAACGAAAAACCUUACCUACCCUUGACAUGUCUGGAAUCCCGAAGAUUUGGGAGUGCUCGCGAGAGGAACCGGAACACAGGUGCUGCAUGGCUGUCGUCAGCUCGUGUCGUGAGAUGUUGGGUUAAGUCCACAACGAGCGCAACCCUUGUCAUUGAAAGUUGCUACGAAAGAGGGCACUCUAAUGAGACUUACCGGUGACAAACCGGAGGAAGGUGAGGAUGACGUCAAGUCCUCAUGGCCCUUAUGGGUAGGGCUUCACACGUCAUACAAUGGUCGGGACAGAGGGUCGCCAACCCGCGACCAAUCCCAGAAACUGAUCGUAGUCGGAUCGCAGUCUGCAGCUCGACUGCACGUGAAGUCGGAAUCGCUAGUAAUCGCGGAUCCAAGCAUGUCGCGGUGAAUACGUUCCCGGGUCUUGUACACACCGCCCGUCACACCAUGGGAGUGGGUUUACCAGAAGUGGUUGUGGCUUAAAUAAGGGCGAUUACCGCGGUAAGUUCAUGACUGGGAAUUUGAAGUCGUAACAAGGUA